ensembl:lncRNA
UCAGGCCAGAACCUGCAGAAAUGCAAUUCCCUAAAGAGGGGCUGGAGAGGUGGAAUUAGAAGUCAAUUAUAGCAGGAACCUAUGAACCGAGAGGAAAGGAUUUGUCCACAUGGUUUUAUGAGCAAUAAAGAAGUUGGAAGGAAAGGAAAAGAAAUUUCAGAGUGCCUCAGGCCCCUGGUGCAUUCUGGAUUGAAAGUGAGAAAAAGAAAAACAGGAAAGUUCCCAUCGUGGUGCAGCAGAAAUGAAUCCAACCAGUAUCCGUGAGGACACGGGUUCAAUCCCUGGCCUCGCUCAGUGGGUUAAGGAUCCGGCGUUGCCGUGAGCUGUGAUGCAGGUUGCAGACGCGGCUUGGAUCUGGCGUGGCUUGUGGCUGUAGUACAGGUCAGCAGCUGCAGCUCUGAUUGGACCCCUAGCCAGGGAAGAUCCAUAUGCCGCAGGGGUGGCCCCAGAAAGCAAAGCAAAAAAAGAAAGGAAGGAAGAAAAAGCAAAAGGAACGUUGGAGAAAGAAAUUCAUGUGUCUUAGUGACAGUGCACCUAGCUCUCCUUAGUUCUGGUGUUUCUUCCAUGAUGCAGAGCUGGGGGCUGACACUGAGAUGUCCCUGGGCCUGCUAGAAGGGCUCGGGUUGGCACCGUGGCUGACAGCAAGAGCUUGGAGCAAAGCUGCUCGUCUCUGAGUCCUGGGUCUGUGCUCCUGGGCUGAGUUGAGACUCAGCAUUUUCUCAUUGAGCACAUGGGGGUGACAGCCACUGAUGCUGGCUGUCAGCUGUGUCAUUCACACCUCUUGGUGCCCUGCUUUUAAAAAAAGUGUUGUUGUUGUUUGUUUUGUUUUGUCAUGCUUUGUUUCUUGGCUGCACCCACGCCAUGCGAAGAUGGCAUGUGGCCACAGCAGUGACAACCCAGGAUCCUUAAUCCUUAGCAGACAUUCUGCUUGUUAGUUCGGAUUUUCCCUCCAUCCUUAUCUCACUAGAUCACAAGUGCCUUAAGGCUGGCACUCGGUUUUGUGCUGAGGAGCACAAGGGGUCAUUGAGUUUGGACCUCCUGUUCUGUUUUCUCUUGGCUCCUUUUUUGGAGGGCAUGGGAAAGGCGGUUGGGUCGGGGUGAAGGAGCCUGCCGUGGGCUCUGGUAUGUGGAUACCGCCAAGUAUGUGAUAAGUGAGAACCCUAAGUACUAGUUCUUCCAAGAAGAUGCGUGAUCCCCACUCUCUUGGAAGAGUAUUUCUGCGAGAAGGACUUUGACUCAUUUUAUUCAUUUAUUCAUUCAUUUCUGAUGAGAUGUUAUGUAACAGAGAACCGUUUAUCAUGAGUUCAGCUUGAUGCAGUUUCAAACUAGACACAGCCCCGUAACCAGCAUCAAGUCACCUAACAUGACCCGCUUCCCAGUCACAGCUUUGAGGUCUCACAGCAUUGAUACUUUCACUUGUUUUUGUCCUUUAUUAAAACAGAAACACAUAGCAUUGAAACUGACAAGGCUUAUGACUUGAACGCAGCCAGAACCCAGACUGGGACUUGAACCCACGUGCCAGGACGCGAACCAAGCCAAAAGCCAGAUUGGGACUUGAACCUCCGGUUUUUAAGUCAGAAUCACUCACCCGGUAUUUGGGCUAAGUUCAGGUUCUUUGUGCCUCAGCGCAGCAGGAACUCAGUGAGAGACAAACUGUGAUCUCCCCAAGUUCCCUGGGCUUCCCUUCUAUCUUUUAUCCUCUGUUGGGGCUUCUCCAACUACCUGUGUAACUAUCCCCUCCAUCCCUACCAGCAGGUGCUUUUUCUGUCUGCCUUUUUUUUUUUUUGGCUCCAUGUUCUCUUUAUGAAAUUCCAUUUUGUUGUUGUUGUUGCAGGCACUUCUACUGUAUUCUCACUGCUGUGUAGAGAGACGAUAUGUGACGUGUUGGGGCUGGCUGGGGACGAUUUCGCUCCCCAGGGGACAUUUUGACAAUAUCCGGAGACAUUUUUGGUUUUCACAGCUUGGCCAGGAGGGGGCAAGGGGUGCUGUGGCAUGUAGAUAGAGAGUAGAGGCCAGGGGUGCUGCUAAACAUCUCACCAGCCACAGGACAGCCCCCACAACCAGGCAUCACCAGCCCCCCGAGACCAGUAGUGCCAAGCAGGAGAAAUUCUGCUGUGCAGCCACUUUGGUGGAUGCUUGGGUCUCUUAGGAAUACGACUGCAGUGAAGGGUGAGCCACGGGUCCUUUGAAAAUACGUGGGAAUGGAAUUGCUGGGUGGGAGGACGUGUCUGUGCUCAGCUGAGCACACAGCGCCAGCCUUCCAGAGUGGUCCUGAUUCAGUAAUGCGAGAGCGUUCCAGUUGCUCUGCCUCUGCACCAUCAUUUUCUCUGACUUGUUUGCAUUUUAAAAAAUUUGGGGAGCUUCCUCAUGGUGCAGCAGGUGAAGGAUUCAGCGUUAUCCCUGCUGUGGCUCUGGUCACUGCCUGACAUGGGUUCGACUCCCGGCCCAGGAACUUCUGCAUGCCAUGGGCAUGGCAAAAAAAAUAAAUAAAAUUUUUUUUGUAUCCUUCUCUUCCACCCUUCUCCAUUUCAGCUACGACACACUAGAUACUCAAAACACCACUGUUUGACGGUAAAUAAUCCCAGUCUAUAUUCUGUGAAAGACGGAUUGUGCACAGGUGUGCGUACUGUGUCCAGGUAAUUAGAGAAUGCGUUCAGGGCGGGGUGACUUGCGACUAGGGUUUCUCUUAUUUAAAUAACUCGCACCAGGAGUUCCUACUGUGGCUCUGUGGGUUAAAAACCCAGCUGGUAUCCAUGAGGAUUUGGGUUCCAUCUCUGGCCUCACUCAGUGGUUAGGGUGCUGCUGUGAGCUGCGGUGUGGCUCAUAGAUGCGGCCCGGAUCCUUCAAUUGCUAUGGCUAUGGUGUAGACAGUCAACUGCAGCUCCAAUGUGACCCCUAGCCUGGGAACUUCCCUAUGCCGCAGGGGUGGACCUAGAAAGCAACAACAACAAAAAAAACGAAAAUACAAAAAUAAAAAGCACCUUUCUGUAUAACUAUGUCCUUUCAUUCUUAAAAGUACCACUUAGCUUUCCAUAGUGAGUUUUAUUCCAGGGCUGAGAUUAUCCACCACUUGCGUUCACGUUUAUUAAGUACUUCCAAAUUAUACAGUAAUAUUUAUCUUGAAAUAUUGGCUCUUUUGUUUACAGUAUUUUUCUUUGUCCUAGAAAAAUAGAUCUAGAAGGGUCCCGGAGGGAGAAAAAAAAAUCUUAGAAGUUGGUAUCUGAUCCACCACUUCUCAAACUUUGGUCUCGGGACCUUGUUAGAAAUACAGAUAGUUAAAUUCCACUGGGAGUUUCUUGGGAUGGAGGCCCCGAGCUCCAUAUUUUAACAACCCCUUUAGGUAAUGAGAUGUUAAACAAGUGCACACAUGUUACGUCUAAAUUAUCCUUAACCUCAAGCCACAGGCACACCUCGUUUGGCUGAAACCAUGUGUUUUGCCAAAACCAUGAGUUAGCUCUUCUUCCAAGGGUAAGCCAUUCAUUUCCGUAGGUAAAUUCGGUGGUAAGAUUCAUCCUGAGAUGUAAUUGGCUGUGACUUAUUUGGGGGGUCAUUGAUUUUUUUCCCUUUCUAAGCCCCCCCAGUUUCAAGCUCUUCAUUUCCUAAUGGCCACCUUUCUGCUACCAGAAGAUCACCUCCUGUCUGCGCAGGCUUUGACAUUCACCUAUAGGAAUUUGUGUCCACUGUCUUUUGCAAAUAGCAUCCUUUAGCAUCCAGGAAGUGUCUCCCCAAUGCCUUUGCUCCAUCAGAAGCGGCUCACUGUGGCUCACACUACCAUAUGCUAUGACCAAGCAUGACCACUUUCUCGAUCUGCCACCCGGGCCUUGAAACUUCUGUGUAUUAAACGUCUUCU